AGAGUUUGAUCCUGGCUCAGAAUCAACGCUGGCGGCGCGCCUAACACAUGCAAGUCGAACGAGAAAGGGGAGCAAUCCCUGAGUAGAGUGGCGUACGGGUGAGUAACACGUGGGUAAUCUGCCCUUUGGUGGGGAAUAACCCUGGGAAACCGGGGCUAAUACCGCAUAAGUCCGAGAGGAGAAAGCAGCAAUGCGCCGAAGGAGGAGCCCGCGGCCGAUUAGCUAGUUGGUAGGGUAAAAGCCUACCAAGGCUAAGAUCGGUAGCCGGCCUGAGAGGGCACACGGCCACACUGGCACUGAAACACGGGCCAGACUCCUACGGGAGGCAGCAGUGGGGAAUCUUGCACAAUGGGGGAAACCCUGAUGCAGCGACGCCGCGUGAGCGAUGAAGCCCUUCGGGGUGUAAAGCUCUUUCGGCAGGGAAGAUGAUGACGGUACCUGCAGAAGCAGCUGCGGCUAACUACGUGCCAGCAGCCGCGGUAAUACGUAGGCAGCAAGCGUUGUUCGGAGUUACUGGGCGUAAAGGGUGUGUAGGCGGUUUGGUAAGUCUGGUGUGAAAUCUCCCGGCUCAACUGGGAGGGUGCGCCGGAAACUGCCGGACUCGAGUGCGGGAGAGGAGAGUGGAAUUCCUGGUGUAGCGGUGAAAUGCGUAGAUAUCAGGAGGAACACCGGUGGUGUAGACGGCUCUCUGGACCGUAACUGACGCUGAAACACGAAAGCGUGGGUAGCAAACAGGAUUAGAUACCCUGGUAGUCCACGCCCUAAACGAUGCAUAUUUGGUGUGGGUCAUUCAGUUGAUCCGUGCCGGAGCUAACGCGUUAAAUAUGCCGCCUGGGGAGUACAGUCGCAAGGCUGAAACUCAAAGGAAUUGACGGGGCCCGCACAAGCGGUGGAGCAUGUGGUUCAAUUCGACGCAACGCGAAGAACCUUACCUGGGCUCGAACGC
rnacentral:rRNA from 1 species